UGGGGAAUAUUGGACAAUGGGGGCAACCCUGAUCCAGCCAUGCCGCGUGAGUGAUGAAGGGCCUUCGGGUUGUAAAGCUCUUUUGGCGGGGACGAUGAUGACGGUACCCGCAGAAUAAGCCCCGGCUAACUUCGUGCCAGCAGCCGCGGUAAGACGAAGGGGGCUAGCGUUGUUCGGAAUUACUGGGCGUAAAGCGAGUGUAGGCGGUUGCCGUAGUCAGGUGUGAAAGCCUUGAGCUCAACUCAAGAAAUGCACUUGAUACUGGGUGACUAGAGGACCGGAGAGGAUAGUGGAAUUCCCAGUGUAGUGGUGAAAUACGUAGAGAUUGGGGAGAACACCAGUGGCGAAGGCGGCUAUCUGGACGGUUACUGACGCUAAGACUCGAAAGCGUGGGGAGCAAACAGGAUUAGAUACCCUGGUAGUCCACGCCGUAAACGAUGGGUGCUAGACGUUGGCGAGCUUGCUCGUCAGUGUCGCAGCUAACGCGUUAAGCACCCCGCCUGGGGAGUAACGGCCGCAAGGUUGAAAACUUAAAGGAAUUGACGGGGGUCAUAGCUGUUUCCU
rnacentral:rRNA from 1 species